UGGGGAAUAUUACACAAUGGGCGCAAGCCUGAUGCAGCCAUGCCGCGUGUAUGAAGAAGGCCUUCGGGUUGUAAAGUACUUUCAGUCGGGAGGAAGGUGGUAAGGUUAAUAACCUUAUCAAUUGACGUUACCGACAGAAGAAGCACCGGCUAACUCCGUGCCAGCAGCCGCGGUAAUACGGAGGGUGCAAGCGUUAAUCGGAAUUACUGGGCGUAAAGCGCACGCAGGCGGUUGAUUGAGUCAGAUGUGAAAUCCCCGGGCUUAACCCGGGAAUUGCAUCUGAUACUGGUCAGCUAGAGUCUUGUAGAGGGGGGUAGAAUUCCAUGUGUAGCGGUGAAAUGCGUAGAGAUGUGGAGGAAUACCGGUGGCGAAGGCGGCCCCCUGGACAAAGACUGACGCUCAGGUGCGAAAGCGUGGGGAGCAAACAGG
rnacentral:rRNA from 1 species